ACAGCCCCAUAUGAUUGCUAAGUUUUUUCCUAAGUAGUCAAAAGUCAAUAUUAAUUCGUCAUAUAUUUUUUGAUUUAAGCUAAAUAUAUAUUUUAAUUCAGAUCUUGAGUCGACAUAAUCGGUAGAGUUCUACAACUAGUUGAUUAGUUCUAGAUAAUUUGAUAAUUUGAAUUGUGACUUCGUCGAAUUUUUUUAUUCAAAAGAUAAAGGAACUACAAAACUACAAAUGUUCGCUCAGACCAAUCAAGCACAAGAUAACAUAACACCCACCGCAGAUAUGUUGAGUAGUUAUCUUGGAAGAACCUCAAUGUACGUACUUAGGGCAAAGGGAGACUAUUUUGCAUCCCAACCAGACCAACUUAAUUUACGAAUCGGGGACUAUUAUUUGAGCUUUCAACCUCUC